rnacentral:tRNA from 1 species
GCGAGAGUGGCGGAAUUGGUAGACGCGCUGGUUUUAGGUACCAGUGGGGAAACCCGUGCGAGUUCGAGUCUCGCCUUUCGCACCA